UUACGGCCAUAUCACGCUGAAACACCGGUUCUCUUGCGAUCACCAAAGUUAAGCAACGUCGAUCCUGGUCAGUACCUAGUUGGGUGACCACUUAGAACUACUAGAGGUUGUAA